GACGAACGCUGGCGGCGUGCCUAAUACAUGCAAGUCGAGCGAAUCUUUUGGGAGCUUGCUCCCAAAAGAUUAGCGGCGGACGGGUGAGUAACACGUGGGCAACCUGCCUAUCAGACUGGGAUAACUUCGGGAAACCGGAGCUAAUACCGGAUACGUUCUUUUCUCGCUUGAGAGAAGCUGGAAAGACGGCAUCUAGCUGUCACUUGCAGAUGGUCCCGCGGCGCAUUAGCUAGUUGGUGGGGUAAUGGCUCACCAAGGCGACGAUGCGUAGCCGACCUGAGAGGGUGAUCAGCCACACUGGGACUGAGACACGGCCCAGACUCCUACGGGAGGCAGCAGUAGGGAAUCUUCCGCAAUGGACGAAAGUCUGACGGAGCAACGCCGCGUGAACGAAGAAGGCCUUCGGGUCGUAAAGUUCUGUUGUUAGGGAAGAACAAGUACCAGAGUAACUGCUGGUACCUUGACGGUACCUAACCAGAAAGCCACGGCUAACUACGUGCCAGCCGCCGCCGUAAGAC
rnacentral:rRNA from 1 species